rnacentral:rRNA from 1 species
UACGUAGGGUCCGAGCGUUGUCCGGAAUUAUUGGGCGUAAAGGGCUCGUAGGCGGUCUGUCGCGUCGGGAGUGAAAUUUUACAGCUUAACUGUGAACGUGCUUUCGAUACGGGCAGACUUGAGGUAUUCAGGGGAGAACGGAAUUCCUGGUGUAGCGGUGAAAUGCGCAGAUAUCAGGAGGAACACCGGUGGCGAAGGCGGGUCUCUGGGCCGAUAUUGACGCUGAGGAGCGAAAGCGUGGGGAGCAAACGGG